UACGGAGGGGGCAAGCGUUGUUCGGAAUUAUUGGGCGUAAAGAGCUCGUAGGCGGUCUGUCGCGUCGAAUGUGAAAACCCGGGGCUCAACUCCGGGCUUGCAUUCGAUACGGGCAGGCUAGAGUUCGGUAGGGGAGUCUGGAAUUCCUGGUGUAGCGGUGAAAUGCGCAGAUAUCAGGAGGAACACCGGUGGCGAAGGCGGGACUCUGGGCCGAUACUGACGCUGAGGAGCGAAAGCGUGGGGAGCGAACAGG
rnacentral:rRNA from 1 species